rnacentral:rRNA from 1 species
UGGGGGAUAUUGCACAAUGGGCGAAAGCCUGAUGCAGCGACGCCGCGUGGGGGAUGAAGGCUUUCGGGUUUUAAACCUCUUUCGCUAUCGAACAAGGCCCGCUUAGGGUGGGUUGUGGGUAUGUGGAGAAGAAGCGCCGGCUAACUACGUGCCAGCAGCCGCGGUAAUACGUAUGGCGCGAGCGUUGUCCGGAAUUAUUGGGCGUAAAGGGCUUGUAGGCGGCUUGUUGCGCCUGCUGUGAAAACGCGGGGCUUAACUGCGCGCGUGCAGUGGGUACGGGCAGGCUUGAGUGUGGUAGGGAUGACAGGAAGUCCAGGUGUAGCGGUGGAAUGCGCAGAUAUCUGGAGGAACACCGAUGGCGAAGGCAGGUCACUGGGCCAUUACCGACGCUGAGGAGCGAAAGCAUGGGUAGCGAACAGG